GCGGCGCACGGGUGCGUAACGCGUAUGCAACCUACCUUUUACUGGGGGAUAGCCCGGAGAAAUCUGGAUUAAUACCCCAUGGUACCAGAGAGCCGAAUGGCUUUCUGGUUAAAGAUUUAUCGGUAAGAGAUGGGCAUGCGUCUGAUUAGCUAGUUGGCGGGGUAACGGCCCACCAAGGCGACGAUCAGUAGGGGUUCUGAGAGGAAGGUCCCCCACACUGGCACUGAGAUACGGGCCAGACUCCUACGGGAGGCAGCAGUAGGGAAUAUUGGGCAAUGGUCGCAAGACUGACCCAGCCAUGCCGCGUGCAGGAAGACGGCCCUCUGGGUUGUAAACUGCUUUUAUCUGGGAAGAAAAAGUCCAUGCGUGGAAAAUUGCCGGUACCAGAUGAAUAAGCACCGGCUAACUCCGUGCCAGCAGCCGCGGUAAUACGGAGGGUGCAAGCGUUGUCCGGAUUUAUUGGGUUUAAAGGGUGCGUAGGCGGCUGAAUAAGUCAGCGGUGAAAGACUUCGGCUUAACCGGAGCAGUGCCGUUGAUACUGUUUAGCUUGAGUGUUGGAGGGGUACAUGGAAUUGAUGGUGUAGCGGUGAAAUGCAUAGAUACCAUCAGGAACACCGAUAGCGAAGGCAUUGUACUGGCCAACAACUGACGCUGAGGCACGAAAGUGUGGGGAUCGAACAGGAUUAGAUACCCUGGUAGUCCACACCGUAAACGAUGAUUACUCGCUGUUAUGGUGUAUGCUGUAGCGGCCAAGCGAAAGCGUUAAGUAAUCCACCUGGGGAGUACGCCGGCAACGGUGAAACUCAAAGGAAUUGACGGGGGUCCGCACAAGCGGU
rnacentral:rRNA from 1 species